CAGCACCUCAAGUGGUCAGGAUGAUUAUUGGGCCUAAAGCAUCCGUAGCCGGCGCUGUAAGUUUUCGAUUAAAUCUGUACGCUCAACGUACAGGCUGCCGGGAAUACUGCAGCGCUAGGGAGUGGGAGAGGUAGACGGUACUCGGUAGGAAGGGGUAAAAUCCUUUGAUCUAUUGAUGACCACCUGUGGCGAAGGCUGUCUACCAGAACACGUCCGACGGUGAGGGAUGAAAGCUGGGGGAGCAAACCGGAUUAGAUACCCGAGUAGUCC
rnacentral:rRNA from 1 species